CAGCCCGCACUUAACGACCUUGAAAUCACACGACUUAAGUGGAAUCCAAGCUCAGGCUGCUGUCGUCCCGCUAGGAUCCAAGGGUUAUCUGGCUGAACUGUUUUCCCGUUCCAGCAACCUGAACGCCAACCCGCUGGACAAACAACGCGAAUGAAGUGGCUAAGGGCAUACAAGUCAUUGUGUGGCUUCUAGAAGACUCUAGAGAAAAUACCCUGAGCCUGAGCUUAGAAGCCUCAUGGCAGAGGAAAAAGACAAAAGGAGCCUGGCUUUGAAGAAUUCGUAGAGUUUACAUACCAACCCCAAGCUGCUUACCUUCAAACUUCUUUUAUGUAAUAGAAUAAAUGUUUUAAUACUGUA